CGCACCACCAUUCACACGAGCGUUGCAUCACGCUGCCUCGUCCUUCCCUCUCCUCUCGCAGCAUCGAUCACAUCGGUGGAAGGGGGCGGCGGUGGCGCGCAUUGGCAUCGAGCCGGCGAUGGGCCGACGGCAGCAGCCAGAAGAGCCUGAUUCCUCAAAUCCAGAUGAAGAGGACCUGAACAUUAAUACCAUUAUUUUCUACCAAGUCCGGUGCAGUGAGUCCAUCCAACCCCUAGAAACAGCAGGAACCGAGGCUAGUAACAAUUGGCAAAAUAAUGUUGUGCUUGCUCCAAAUGUGAUUGUUGCUGACCCUGGGAUUCUCACUCCAAUCGAACAAUUGGAUGUAAACAUUAGGGAUGCUGCUACAAGGGAGUAUUUGUUGUUGGGUCCAUGUUAACAGGUUGAUCAUUUCAGCAAUGAAAUAUUUAAUGUGGUACUUGAUCAAAUUAUUGUUGAUUUAAACCAUCGUGCUGAAAGGUUUACUCAGCUAUUGAGAUGCAUUGUUUGCCUUGA